AAAAAAAAAAAAAAAGACCCUUGUGAUUACAUUGGUCUCACCCAGAUAAUCCAGAAUAUUCUUCUCAAGAUCCUUAACGUAAUCACACCUGGAAAGUUGCUGUUGCCAUGUAAAGUAGUAACAUAUUCACAGAUUUUGGGUAUUAGCAUGUGGACAUCUUUGCUGAGGUAUUAUUUUGCCUACCACAUAGGAUAUGUUAAUCGGUGCUUAAAAAUCCAUUCGAUGCUCAAAUUUUUUAGAAGAAUGAACCUAUGUAUUUUUAAAAAUCCAAGUAAAUGACCAGCUUCAGUGUUCUGCCUUAUGUUUUGAUGAGGGGAAUAAAACAGUGAGGGAAUGAUUGGGAUAGUGAAGGAUUAUUUGCCACCAGAGAAUGCUGAAGUUUUUGGGACAAUGUUUGCAAGCCCCCUUCUAACUCACCUCCAUUUGCUAUAUCUCUUCGUGCCUAAUGGGGGAUUUUACCAGUGUGAAUAUGCACUGUUGAAUUUUUGGUCCUGCUUUUCAAAUGCUGUCAGUGACAAACUUCAGUUGUAGUGGGAAAUUUAAUAGGAAACAGUGAGCCAUCUCAUCCCUCAUGCAACCAGUCAUUUAAAAAUCAACUAGGAAAAGUCUUUCAGUGUGGUAGGGAGGUAGGGUGGUAUAAUUGCAAGAGUGGAGGCAUACAGACUUGAAGUCAAAUCCUGUUUCCAACACAGACUAGCUAUGUGACUUUGGUAAACACAUAAUUUCCUGAGAUUCAGUCUUUUCAUCUGUGUAGUAGGCAUAAUAAUAACUGAGGUGAGUUACAUAAAGUAUAUGACAAUCUGGUGAACACAGGGCAUUUUUAUGUCACAUUUUCACCCAUUUAGCAUUGACUCUAUGGAGGUUUUGACCCUUUGUUUUAAUCUAAAAGAUUUUUUAAAAUAUCAGAAUUAUACGAACAUUGAUGACUUUUUUCCAAGAGUAUUUUUCUGGAGAUAAUUUCGUUAAGUCAGUUAAUUUUGUUAAUUUAAAUAGUAUGGCUCAUCAUUCAAUAAAUAGUAAACAUCUACUAUGUGCUAUGUAUUUUUUUCUUAGAAGAUAUCUGUAAAUAAAGACAAUAUUCCUGCCUUUGUUGAGUCUUAUUUUUUGGCAAGGAGAGACAGAUAGUAAACAUAAAAAAUAAGUAGAUUCUAUAACAAGAGGUAUUAAGUGCUAUGGAAAAAAGAAAACACACCAGAGAGGUGAGGGUGCAGAUUGCAGUAUAAAUAGCAUACUUAGGAAACAAAUCAUCUGGAGGUGAGAUUUGAACCAAGACCUGAAGGAAGUGAAUGGACUCAUCCAAGGGGAUAUUUGGGGAAAGAAUAUGCUUGGCAGAGGAAUUAGCUGGUGCAAAGGCCCCACAGUGGGGCAUGUCUGCUAUGUCAGAGGAGCGUCAAAAGGAUGAGUAUGGCUCAAGAGAAUGGAGUGAUGGGGAGAGUAAUGGGAGAGGAGGUCAGAGAGGGGCCAGAUUGCCUGGACCUGGGAGGCUUUGGGAAGGGCACUCCAAAGUGCAAUAGGAAGCUAUUAUAGGGCCUUGUGCAGAGCAAUGACCCAAUCUGACUGAAGUUUCAUAAAUUCUUUGUUCAGACUAGAUGGUAGGAAGGCAAGGAUAAAGGUUGGGGCUCCUGUGGUCAGCAACGUGGGAGGAUGAUGGCUCAAACAGGGCAGGAGCAGUGAAGCUAGUGAGAAUGGUCAGAUUUGCGAUACAUUUAAAGGUAAGACCCUGAGGAUUUCCUCAUGCGUAGGAUGUAGGGUAUGAGGGAAUUGAGAGUAGCUAAAGCUAACCCCAAAGUUUUUAUCCUGAGGAACUGAAGAGUGUAGUUACAAUCAACUAAGAUAGGGAAGGCUUAGUGGGAUUGGGGUGGUAAUGGUGGAGAAAGAUGACCGGAAGUCCAGUUUAAGAUGUGUUAAGUUUGAAACGCCUAUUAGAACUCCGUGGUUGAUGUUGAGUAGGAAGCUGGAUAUCCAACUGAUUUUGGGAGAGAGUUCUGGACUAAAAAUAGAAAUUUGGGACUUGUUGGCAUCUAGAUGCUAUUUGAAACAAUGGGACUGGGUACAAUCACCAAUGGAGGAAGACAGGAAAUAGAAGUCCAGGGACUGAACCCUAGGGGAUUUCCACCUAAGAAGUCAGGGAGAGGACAAGCCAACAAAGGAGACUGAGAGGCGUGACCGUCAAGGUGGAGGAAAGCCAAGAGCAUGGUGCCUGGAGUGGAAGCCAGGAGAAGGAGGUGUCUUACUGAGGCGAGAGUGAUCAACUUUCCAAUAAUCGUUAAUAGGCCUGAAAAUGAAAUCCCAAGACUUUAAACAUUUAUGAGCAUGAGGAGGAAGCAUCACAGAAGAAUUGUCUCAAAACAACAUUUUUAGAUUAGAUUAGAGAUGCAAUAUUCAUAGAUAUAUAAAAUAUGUAGAAAUGUCUUUUCUAAAUAGUUAAAUGUUUGUUACAGUUUGUAAAAAGUUUAAUAAAUUAAUCAGUUUUUUUUCAACCAAUGUAAA